AUAUGAAGAUUGUAUAUAGACAUUUGUUGUAUGUGUGCUAGCAGUUAGCGGCUAGAUGCCAAUAUCGUAGCAGACUACUACGCCACAAUGAAUCAGUCUUGUGAAUAUUCGCGAACUAUGCGGUCGCCAUAUGAUGAUUUUUCAAUCGUGUCGGAUAGCGGUGAAGAAGGUAGAGGGAAUAGCUACAGCUAUGGAAACAAAAAUUAUAGUUGUACCAUACCAUAUCACGCGCGUGAAAAUUCGUUGCCAUUUAGUUACGGACAAAUAAAUAAGACACCGACCUCAUUGCGUAGUGUUGGUCCAGCUAAUGGAAUCGGCGGACUCCAUCGCCCUCAACAUGGCGCUGAUGCUGUUUCCAGUGAUGUUAUCGAUUUCGGAUUCGGUUCAAGCCUAACGCCAUCUAAGGCGGAUGAAAAUUACAAUAUGGACGCGGAUCUUUAUUGCGGUGCUAAUUACAACAACGGUUUAACGGCCACAUUAAGAUCGACAACAACACCAACUGCAAAAAAGUCGGCACAGGGAAGUAGCACAGACGCAAUAAGUACGAUCAAAGCGCAACCACGACUUACGAGUCCGAUAUUGGUACGUAAAACGCUCAAUAGCCGAUCGCCUACGCGCAAUGGAGCUACCAAUACUAACACUAUCGCCAACACAUACCAUUACAAAUAUGGAAACGACGAUGACAAUAUUUUCGGCGCUCCCGUCGGCAUCAGCAGUAGAAGCCACAACAACACUUUAAAAGGCAAAUUCAACAGUGACAAUAAUGAUUACAGUAACGAUUUCAAACACAAUAACGACAACAGUAGCAAAACUCAUAUUUUCAGCAACAACAAAAACAAGAGCAACAAAUUUGGUAUUGACGACACAGUCGAUGGAAGCAUGAACGUGCGGAAAAUCCAUCCACGCGAUGAUUUUGAGGAAUUAUUACGCGAACGUCGGGAAAAGGUUUUCCGUGAACAUUACCGAUCGGUUGGAUCAACGCAAGCUAUCGAUGGCAUCAAUGGAAGUAGAUUUGAAACUUCGCCUAACGCUCAGAAGUUCAACUAUGAUUUCGAAUUUCACUUAAAUGUUGACGAUGCACCGCCCCCACCACGUCGUGCCCACACUAUGGAUCGAUCGUCGCUACAACAGCUACAGCAAUAUCGUACUCGCGACAUUCCAGUUGCCCGCGAGGUCGUUACGCCAACCGUCAAUUCGUCGAUUGUGGAACGUAAUUACCACACAAUUGGCUCCUCUAUUGCUAAUAGAAAAGCAAGCGAAACAUGCGCUCCUACUCAGCAAAAUUCACUAGUUCGUCAACAAAUUCAACCACAGCAACCGCAACAUCAACAACGACGUGAAAUUGAAACGCUUUAUAGUACAGUGGAGAAACGUACGUCAAAACCGUCGCAAAAACAACAAUCGCUAUCACCUUCUCCAAUACAAACACAACAACCGCUUCGACCAACAGAGUACUCCCCAUAUGGAAAUGGAAACGCGAGUACGGCUAGUUAUGGAUUUGACAAUCAUAACGAGUAUGCUACAAAUAAUCGGAGCUCAUUGGGAGCCGCCGUUGUUGCACGCAGCCGCAAUGACGUGUCACCACCAAUUUACGCUACUACCACUAAGCAUAUCACCACAGCUAAGAAAACAUAUCACAACCACAUUGUAUCCGAACCAGAAUUGUCUUUAAAAGAUCACACAUUGGGGACUUCAUUGUCGCUGCCAAUUGACUCUGCUUCGGCUGGAGCUGUGAAUGAAUUCGAACUGGGUAAAAUUUCGCCAUCACUGGUGACACGCCCUGAAACACCAGCAUUUCCAGUUACUCCACGUACACCACAUGGUGCAUACAAUGGACAAAACAGUCCCACGGGCUAUUCACCUAGCUCAAUGUUGCAACAUACAGAUCUAACGAAAGGAAAAUCAAUGCUAGACUUGCACAACUACUCUUCGGAGACCAUUUACCGUACAAGUUGUCGCCCACGUCUCGACUCCAACAUGUCAAUGGUUAAUAGUGAACCGCAGGAAGUUGCCGCACAUCUGGUCAAAUUUGCCAAAGAUUCGUCGAAAUACUGGUACAAGCCGAAUUUGUCGCGCGAAGAAGUUGUUCAGUUGUUACUACAUGCUGAACCAGGUACAUUUAUAGUUCGUAAUUCCACAACAUACAAGGAUAACUAUGGUUUAGUGGUACGUGUUUACCAACCACCCCCAAAUAGUGAACUUACAGGCCAACCCGACGAUUUAGUGCGCCAUUUCCUCAUUGAGCCUACAAAACACGGUGUACGCUUGAAGAGUUGCGCCAAUGAACCAGUUUUUACAUCACUAUCAGCUCUUAUCUAUGAACAUUCAAUCAACAAAUUAGCCUUACCAUGUUUGUUACGCAUACCCGAACACGAUUUGGUACCAUCGUUAAUCGAACCGACUAGUGCUCAAAAACAAUUGCUAACCCAGGGCGCAGCUUGUAAUGUACUGUGGUUGUACUCAUGUGACACUGAAUCAUUAACUGGUGAAGAGGCUAUCCGUAAAGCCAUACGGCAAUUGUACUCCCAAGAUCGACUACAUAUGCCAACAGAAGUUCACUUUAAAGUCACGCAACAGGGAAUUACCCUCACCGACAAUACUAGGAAAAAAUUCUUCCGAAAACACUAUCCCGGCGAUAGCAUCUCAUUUUGUGCCAUAGAUCCAGAUCAUCGACUCUGGGAAAUCCGAUUGACGGAAGAAGAAGGCAGUGACAAAAAUAGUACCCCGGUCGGAGCGCUAAAGAAGACAAUAUUUGCGUUUGUGGCUCGGAGCACGCCAAAAUCGAAAGACAAUCAAUGCCAUGUAUUUUGUGAUUUAGACAUUCAUCAGCCAGCUUCAGCCAUCGUUUCCUUCGUCAAUAAAACAUUGCCAACUGAGAAAGAACGUAAUUUUGUGCUCUGAAAUCGGAUGAAUACGGGGUCAAAAUAACUUGGAAAGCGAACAAAGUAAGAAGAAAGUGGCCGCACCAGUGCUCGUGUAUAUACAUAUUUAUCCAAGUAUUUAUACACCGAUCAAGAUUCCAUAUGGCAAAAUAAAAAAAUAGAGAAGGGUAUCAGAUAUUCAUAUAUUAUACACAUGUACGCUCUUAAAAAAUAUUGUACCUGUAAUAUAACUGAAAUGACGGGGCCUUAAUAUCAAUCUAUGCGGUAUUAGCAUUCGAACGUCUACACUAAAAAUUUAAUCAGCUCUAAAUCAACUAAAAUGAUGUCCCAGUUUAGUUCAUAUACAAUGUAUAUUGAAUAUUUCAAUAUUAUUCAUACAUACAUAUGUAGAUAUGUAUAUGAAAGUGCAUACAUAUGGGCGUGUGUAUGCAGGUUUGUAUGUAUGCUCAUAUUUAUUUUAUUGUUUAUGAUUUUUUUGUACAUAUGUAGCUUUCAUUCUAAUUAUAUUUGACAUUGUGCCUUAAAUUUAAUAUUAAUCAAAUCGAAUAAAUCCAACACUUAAAAUAGUAACAAAAAUUUAAACAUGUUCAUUUAAGGGUACUUACAUAUGUAUGUGUUCGUUUGCGAAAAAACACGAAAAAUAUGUGAAUAUGCCGUUUAAGUUCUAAAAUGAAGUUCUAACCUUCGUUUAAACCCGAUGUGUGGGGUCAUACUGAUUUCGCUGCAUUCACGCAAUUAUUGUCAGAGUCAAUGUAUUGUGGAAAUUACUUUUCAGAGCUGCGCAAAGUUUUUCCUGAUCUUAUGUAGAAGGCACACAAUGAACACAUCUAAUAUCUCUCGGAAUUGUUUAGCACAAACUUAAUAAGAGGCUAUUUAAAAGAUCUAUUACUUGGCUCAUGGGCGAAGAACGUUAAACCAGAACUGAGACGAAACUGUUUUUGAUAUUUACCUCAAGCUCAUAGGUGUUUUCUCUUUUUUUUUUAAUUUUGGCAAUUUUUAUGUUAUUGCUACAUUAGAUGUAGUUGGAUGUACAACCCUGAAUGAAGUCAUAAUGGUAAUUGAGGCAUGACGUCAUGUCUCUGGACCGAAAGAAACGCAAACAGUGAAAGUGUUUAAAGUAAAAAUACUAAAAUAAAGUAAAAAAGUGUCCCAAAAUUAACCCAAGAUUGGAAUUAAAUACAGGGUGUUCGAAAACGAACGCAAAUUACUAUUGAAAAUUCCUCAUGCCUAUAGAUUUUGCAUUGCGCAUACCUAAAUAAACGCGCCAACAAAAAUGAGCUCUAAAAAAUUAUAUUUUGGUAGCGCGUUAAGAAGUUAGCUUCAGAAAGCGAAGAAAUUGUAAUUUUUCUAAAAAUAUUUCUUGACGAGUGAUGGUUAAUGCUUGUACAAAUGAAUAAAAGUAUUAUUAAUAAAUUAAUUCGUUUGUUUUGAACAAAGCUUCGCGGCCGCAGAUCGAAAAUUUCCACAAAAUAUGUUCGGAAUAGUGUUUUAACUUCGACAACUGUGAACAGAUUUUGAUAUGGUGCAAAUUCAAAUCUUGCGUUAAUUUUGGCAUGCACGGCAUUAGUUUAGUUAAAAUGUAUAACCACAAAAUUUUUCAAAUUAUUUAAAAUAAUUAACAAAUCAUACCGUACUAUCCGCUUGUGGCGGCGUAAUAACGAGACAUCAUCCCUUACUCAGUAUAUGUACAUAUGUAUACGUAUUUUAUAUAGUUUUUACAGUAGGUAUUAAAUUACCAAAUUCCGAUGGUUCAUAAAUAUUCACCAAAGAAAGGAACCCGAGUAUAUGUACGUGUGACGUCAGCGAAAAGCUGACCGCUCAAAUGCUAACCACUAUAGCUAUGUAGAUGCUCACUUUAUUCCUUUUUCUUUGCAAACAACUCUAAUUUUAUUACAGUCAGUCAUAUUGAAAGUCGGGCAAGCACAAAACAAAAUGUCUACUUAUAUUUAAUUUAUAAUGAAAAAAGAUAUUCAACUCGAUCUUUUUUCCUAUUGUUAGAAAUCAACAACAAAAUAAGUAUAUACAUAUGUAUUUAAAGUAACGUAGAAUUAACCGCAUGAAACAAAAACUGAGCCAAGAUAUCUUUUCACAUUAAAAGUGGUAAAGUAUUUCUAUAGAAUUUAACGGUAAAUAUUCCGUUAUAUCUAAUCGAAGUUUAAUUUUAAGUAAGUCAGUCAGUGUAGUUUAAGUAAGUACAAGUAUUUUUUUAAAUGUCGCGAAAUAAUGGAUGAACGCAAUUUAGUCAUACAUCAACAUAUACAAGGAAAAACAGAGCGGGAAUGGCAUUUUUGGUAAAGAAAAGCCCACCCGCAGUUGACGAUAAUUUACCACAUAUAAAUAAAAAGUAUUGGUUUCAAAUAAGCAACACGAAUCCUAACCUAAGAAAUGUCCACCAGAGAUGAAAUAAAGCAAAGCCGUUUUACUUCUGCACAUAAACUUGCUGCAAUGGUCGAUGAAUCUUCUGAUAACAAGAUUAGCCCCGAAACUAUCAGAAGAUUAUUAAGAAAAAAUUAGUUACAUGGUCGAGAAGCAAACAGAAAGCCCCUCAAUAGUAAGAAAUAAACAUGAUCGACUUGAAUUCGCAAGAAAAUUUAUGGAAGAAGUAAAGUGUGGCGUAAGCCAAGACAAGAACUUGAUGCCAAAAAUAAACUAAAACUGUGUAAUGAACAUACAUACAUACAUAUAUACAUAUAUACAUAUAUACAUAUGUAUAUAUUUAGCAAUUUUAAAAAACAGUUUAAAGAAAGCGUGCUUAAAUUUGGUACUGAAGACAACUUUCAGUUUUAUCAGGCUGCACAUCGAAGAGCCAGUUGAGGAAUGCAUUAGAAGAAGAUUGGAACAAGAUUAUUCCGAAUGUAAAUACGUAAAAAUCUGGUUCAAUCAAUGCCGAGAAAACUGCAAGCAGUAGAAAAAGGGUGGUGCGACAGUAACCUAAGCUCAGUUUUCGUUUAAUGCGCUUUAUUGUACGUUACUUUGAAUUUAUUUAUUUUUUUUGUAUACAAAAUUAUAUAAAAUAAUAUGAUUGAUUUUUUGAAAGUUGUAUAUAUUAUUUGAUAAUUUUAUUUUGUUUUGUUACUUUUGGAAUUAUUACAUUUUGAACCUGUUCGCAUUUCAUUAAUUAUGUGAAAAUAUUUUUGAUUUGGCAGACCACAUGCUAGAAUCUAAAAACAUAUACAAAAAUUUAGAGAAAAAUCGGAAAACGUUGUCAUCAGCUGCUACGCAACGAAGGCGAAAAAGAUACAGUCCUCAAUAAAAUUAGCGAAUCAACCGCGAAAUGUCAUAUAUAAGCAUUAUAUGUAUAUGUAUGCUUAAAUUAAUGUACAUAUGUACAUAUGUACAUACAUACAUAUAUGAAAGGAAAAUGCAAAAUUCCUACAACGAGAACGUGAAUAACAUAAAUAUGAGCUAUAGAGAUCAUAUGCUCUAUACAUACAUAUGUAUUUAGUAUACAUACAUACGUACGUAUAAAUAUGCCUAUAGACAUAAUAUAAUGGAUGCAUAAAUACAUACAUAUGUAAGUGUUAGAAAUAUACAUACAUAUGUACAUUUGUACACAUAUGAACUGUAAUUAGAAAUCAUUCAUACGGCUGCGCACUGGCAGCAUUGCCUCAGUUCCAUUACAUGCAUAUACAUACAUAUGUACAUAUAUUAUAUGUGUACAUAUAUUAUUGUGCUUAUUUAUACGUAUGUAAAAAUUAUGACUAUUUGAAGUAAAAAGAAUAACAUCGAAUUAUCAGAAAAUUUAAAAUUCAUCGUUUUAUUUCGAGUUAAAUUUAGUUUGUGUAUAUUCACGUACCUACCAACAAAAGCAAUUAAGAGCACUAUGUGCAUAAUAUAUGGAUGUGUUUUCAUUUCAUUCCAACAAGGAAUUUAACAAAAAUAAAAAAAACUGUGCAAAAAAGUAGCAUAAGUUAAUAUUAAUUAGUCCACAACA